rnacentral:siRNA from 1 species
GCCGUGGGUCCCACCCGCCAUGU